rnacentral:lncRNA from 1 species
CCAAUGAGCCGGCGACUGGGCCGGCGCCGGGGGCGGGGCUGCACUUGACAGUGGCGGUCGCCGGGCAGCCGAGCGGGCGCAGCGGCGGAGCGCGGCGCGGGAGGCAGGGAGGGCGCAAUUCGGCAGCCCCGGGUGGAGGAGCUGGCGGCGGCAGUGCGAUGCUGCGGGUGUCCCCGGGCUCUGGCAUCGCAGCCUCUUCCUAAGCCAGCAUAUUGUGUAAUGAAUAGAAAAAUGAUGUCUCGUUUCUCCAUUUGGGCCACUGAAGCAGGAGUCAGUGCUGCUUCCCCUGGAUGAACAGUGUCGAGAACAUGUGCCCUCCUUGUGUGUUAAUGCCAGAAAGGGCUGUGUAUAUAGUCUGAUGUGUUUCAGGGAAAAUGGAGGAAUGAAGAGAGAGAAGGAAGGUCACCACAGAAAGCACUGCUGGACCAGUGAUGGGAAGAUGAACAAUUAUGUCAACAGAAAGGGUGGUGACCAUGACAACUCUGAAGCAAUCCCAGGGAACCAGCACCUUGAAUUCUCAUUGCCCAGAGAACCCCAGUCUACAUCGUUACAGCUGGGCCUGCAAAGAUACAUCGGCUUCCAUCCCAGUGAUUGUGGGUUUCUGAGACGCAUCCAGGCUGCCCACUGAGGGGAGAAUAAUUGGUGUAGGUGGAAGGUCACCACAGAGUAUCUCCAGCUCCACAGUUAAAUUGUAGUACUGUGAAGAUAGACAAGGGCUGGGUCUUUUAUCUAACAGGAAAUAAUUUUAAUUGAAUCUUUUUAGUUAUAUACCAAUAAAAUUUAAACAUAAUUGCCUUUGUUAAGUAUUGUUAGCAUGAGGCUGAGUAAUGGAAAUUACAAAGAAAAUUUAAAACUUGCUUACUGAAUAUAGAGAAUGGAAUGAUAGAAAACUAACUCCACAAUUUUGGGGGAUGUUCUGUUAACUCAGAUCUGUUUUAACCUGGUGUAAUAAGAAACACAGAAAUGAUGGUCAUUGAGCAAGAUGUUUUUAUUACUCAUGUCCUCUUAGAAGGCUAGCUUGGCACAGUCACCAGGGCUUCCACACACAGAAACACCAGGCCAGAAGGCAGAAGGAGGGCGGGGUAGUAUGGACAGGAACAGGAGAGACAGGGUAGAGGGUAGGAGCUGGUUAGUUUGAAUCAUUUAAGCAGGAAGUCUGGAGAGGGGCAGUCCCUGGUGGUUCAUACCUGGCCCUGGGGUUAUAGUGGCCCACAGUGUGUGUGCUACUGAAGGAGGUGGGAUGGGCUCUGAUUAGUUAGCAAGGCCCUGUGGAUGUCAGAAUAUCAGGAUACAGAAACUGAAAACUGUCGUUAACACAUGAGGGUUUUAUUUUAAUGGUUAACUAAUGAAUUAGGCCUGUAGAUACAUAGAAUGUCCUAUAAAAGAAGCAGAAACACCUACCUUGGGGUCUGAUGGAUGUACUUACUCAGUAAACAUUAAUUAUAUCUGAGUCAUCAUGCCAGAUGGUCCAGCCAUGCUGCUCUUGGUCCUUAAUGGCCAUGGUAGUCAGGUGUGCAGUGUUUAUCCUGAGAAAGCCAGAGAGUGUGUACUGUAUAAUAAAGAUCCCCAUGGGUAAGCCAUCAGAAUGAAAAGGAGGCAUAACAUGUAUGUCCACUAAAAGCUAACAAACCAUUAACUCUGGGCUGUUGUGGCUGCCUGUAAUAAGACCCCUCAUAGAUCAAGGAGCUCAAAACUCUAGCCUGGAGAUAUUUGCAGUUGAUUGGUUAUGAGGGACAGAGAGUCAUUUUUCUUUGGGAUCAAGGUCACUGGUAGAUUGUCUGUGCUCCAGUGGAUGUCCCCACCCUGUGUGCAUGAACGUUUUUAAGUAUUUUCCACUUGCAACCUCUUGUCAGCCAACAAACUUUUACUUGACCCAGAAUGUAGAGGUGUCUUCAUUACUCUUCUAUUGCUGUGAAUAGAUGCCAUGAUCAAAGCAAUUUUUACAGAAGAAAGCCUUUAAUUGGAGUCUUGCUUGCUUACAGUUUCAGAGGUUUAGUUCAUUAUCAUCACGGUGGGGAGCAUGGUGGCAGGCAUGGCACUGGAGCUGAGAGCAAAUCCUGAUUUGUCCACAGAGAGAGAGAGACUGGGCUUAGCAGGGCUUUUGAAACCUUAAAGCCCAUCCCCAACAACACCCUUCCUCCAACAAGGCCACAUCUACUCAAACAAGACCACGCCUCCUAAUCCUUCUAAUUCUCAAAUAGUGCCACUCCUUGGUGACUAAGUAUUCAAAUAUAUGAGCCUAUGGGGGCCAUUCUUAUUCAAACUACACAGUAGGUAUAUGAAAUAGGCACAAAAAUGAAGCAUUUACUAAUAAUAAAUAAAAUUUUAUUUUAAAACAAUUCUUUGAUUCACACAUACAUUUACUAUUUAUUAAAGAUGACAGCAAAUUUGCAUACUAAUAAGAUGGAUCUGCUUGUUGUUUUGACAUAAAGAAUCAAAUUGUGGACUAAAUUUUAGGUCCUACAGGACACGGUACAUCCUCAGUGUUUUCCAGAGUUGAUCGAGAUUUUGACUGAUUCUCAAUACUGACAAUACUGUUUCUCAUAAAUGCAUAGUAUAAAAUAGUAGGGGUGUGUUAGGACCAUCUUAGAAAUGGUUGGAAAUUCUGUUUUAAACUUAGGCCAAAAUUCUUUAGUGAUUUCCUUUUUUUAUGACACUCAAGUCAGCAACACAAACAGCAAUUUUUAAAAUCAAUCAUUCUAAGAACAGGGUCCAAAGGUACACUAACAGGAGAACUGUGUGGUGGG